rnacentral:rRNA from 1 species
CGUAGGGUGCAGGCGUUAAUCGGAAUUACUGGGCGUAAAGCGUGCGCAGGCGGUUUGCUAAGACAGGUGUGAAAUCCCCGGGCUUAACCUGGGAACUGCGCUUGUUACUGGCAAGCUGGAGCGUGGCAGAGGGGGGUGGAAUUCCACGUGUAGCAGUGAAAUGCGUAGAGAUGUGGAGGAACACCGAUGGCGAAGGCAGCCCCCUGGGCUAACACUGACGCUCAUGCACGAAAGCGUGGGGAGCAAACAGGAUUAGAUACCCUGGUAGUCCACGCCCUAAACUAUGUCAACUGGUUGUCGGGGAAGCAAUUCCUUGGUAACGAAGCUAACGCGUGAAGUUGACCGCCUGGGGAGUACGGCCGCAGGUUA